UGCGCAGGCGGCCAAGUGUGUUAGAUGUGAAAUCCCGGGGCUCAACCCCGGAACUGCGUCUAAAACUACCUGGCUAGAGCAUUGGAGAGGGUAGCGGAAUUCACGGUGUAGCAGUGAAAUGCGUAGAUAUCGUGAGGAACACCAGAGGCGAAGGCGGCUACCUGGACAAUUGCUGACGCUCAGGCACGAAAGCGUGGGGAGCAAAAGGGAUUAGAUACCCCUGUAGUCCACGCCCUAAACGGUGCACACUAGGUCUUGGCGGAUUCGACCCCACCAGGGCCCAAGCUAACGCGUUAAGUGUGCCGCCUGAGGACUACGGCCGCAAGGCUAAA
rnacentral:rRNA from 1 species